AGAAGGAGAUAAAUAAGGGCGGUGGAGGGUAUUUUGGGGAAAAGAAAGGAAGAGAGAGAAAGAAACCGCGUUGUUCGGGGGACGAGAAGACACGCGUAAGAUUGUCCGUACAUGUGUAUGAGGUAAGCUUGAUGUUGAUGCUGAACUUGGUUUGGCGGACUCUUGCCUUUGCUUACCAUCAAUUUUAUUUAAAAAAAAUCAAUUUUAUUUAAUUUAACCAUGGAAUUUAAUUAUAAAACUACACACAAAUAUCACAGAACAAUCUAGAUGAUUAACAUUAAUUAUUAUUUUAUUCGUAUCAUAGUGUUUAGAGAAUAAUGAUUCCAUGCACAAAGAUCUAUUUAAGAGGUUGAUUUCUUCAAAUAAAUAAACUUUUUUUAUAGAAAACAAUUUUAGAUCAAAUUUGAAUUAUAUGCUUAAGAGAAACAAUAUCUAUCAAUUGUGACACAUUAUAUUGAUCGAUGAUUAACAUUUUUAAAUAUAUUGUUGAUUAAGUUUGGUUGGUAAAUGAUUUUCUUGACAAGUGUUUAAAGACAUUGUUAAGAGAUUUUAAUUUUUAAUAGAAAAAAUAUAAUUAAUAGUUCCAUUUCGUGGACAGAAUAGCAUCAAGGAUAAUGGAUAAAUAAAAUAACUUGCGGAAGGGUUUGCAGGUCGUCAUUGGAUCAUGAAGUGGCU
rnacentral:lncRNA from 1 species